rnacentral:rRNA from 1 species
AUUGAACGCUGGCGGCAUGAUUUACACAUGCAAGUCGAACGGUAACAGGCCGCAAGGUGCUGACGAGUGGCGAACGGGUGAGUAAUGCAUCGGAACGUGCCCAGUCGUGGGGGAUAACUACUCGCAAGAGUAGCUAAUACCGCAUACGAUCUAUGGAUGAUGGCGGGGGACCGUAAGGCCUCGCGCGAUUGGAGCGGCCGAUGUCAGAUUAGGUAGUUGGUGGGGUAAAGGCUCACCAAGCCAACGAUCUGUAGCUGGUCUGAGAGGACGACCAGCCACACUGGGACUGAGACACGGCCCAGACUCCUACGGGAGGCAGCAGUGGGGAAUUUUGGACAAUGGGCGCAAGCCUGAUCCAGAAAGGCCGCGUGCAGGAAGAAGGCCUUCGGGUUGUAAACUGCUUUUGUACGGAACGAAACGGCUCUGGUUAAUACCCGGGGCUAAUGACGGUACCGGAAGAAUAAGCACCGGCUAACUACGUG